GACGAACGCUGGCGGCGUGCUUAACACAUGCAAGUCGAACGGAAAGGCCCUGCUUUUGUGGGGUGCUCGAGUGGCGAACGGGUGAGUAACACGUUAGUAACCUGCCCUUGACUUUGGGAUAACUUCAGGAAACUGGGGCUAAUACCGGAUAGGAGCUCCUGCUGCAUGGUGGGGGUUGGAAAGUUUCGGCGGUUGGGGAUGGACUCGCGGCUUAUCAGCUUGUUGGUGGGGUAGUGGCUUACCAAGGCUUUGACGGGUAGCCGGCCUGAGAGGGUGACCGGCAACAUGGGGACUGAGAUACGGCCCAGACGCCUACGGGAGGCAGCAGGGGGGAAUAUUGCAAAAUGGGCGGAAGCCUGAUGCAGCAACGCCGCGUGCGGGAUGACGGCCUUCGGGUUGUAAACCGCGUUCGCCUGUGACGAAGCGUGAGUGACGGUAAUGGGUAAAGAAGCACCGGCUAACUACGUG
rnacentral:rRNA from 1 species